rnacentral:rRNA from 1 species
AAUGAACGCUGGCGGCAUGCCUUACACUUGCCAGUCGAACGGCAGCAUGACCUAGCUUGCUAGGUUGAUGGCGAGUGGCGAACGGGUGAGUAAUGCAUCGGAACGUGCCUUUUAGUGGGGGAUAACGUAGCGAAAGUUACGCUAAUACCGCAUAUUCUCUGAGGAGGAAAGCAGGGGACCUUCGGGCCUUGCGCUAGAAGAGCGGCCGAUGUCGGAUUAGCUAGUUGGUGAGGUAAGGGCUCACCAAGGCAACGAUCCGUAGCGGGUCUGAGAGGAUGAUCCGCCACACUGGGACUGAGACACGGCCCAGACUCCUACGGGAGGCAGCAGUGGGGAAUUUUGGACAAUGGGCGCAAGCCUGAUCCAGCCAUGCCGCGUGAGUGAAGAAGGCCUUCGGGUUGUAAAGCUCUUUCGGCUGGGAAGAAAUCGCACCCUCUAAUACAGGGUGUGGAUGACGGUACCAGCAUAAGAAGCACCGGCUAACUACGUG